GAUGAAGAACGCAGCGAAAUGCGAUAAGUAAUGUGAAUUGCAGAAUUCAGUGAAUCAUCGAAUCUUUGAACGCACAUUGCGCCCCUUGGUAUUCCGAGGGGCAUGCCCGUUCGAGCGUCAUUAUACCCCUCAAGCCUAGCUUGGUGUUGGGGCCUGCUGUUACCGGCAGCCCUUAAAAUCAGUGGCGGUGCCAUCUGGCUCUAAGCGUAGUAAUACUUCUCGCUACAGGGUCCCGGUGGAUGCUUGCCAUCAACCCCUAAUUUUCUAUGGUUGACCUCGGAUCGGGUAGGGAUACCCGCUGAACUUAAGCAUAUCAAAAGCGGAGGA
rnacentral:misc_RNA from 1 species